rnacentral:rRNA from 1 species
CCUACGGGAGGCAGCAGUGGGGAAUAUUGGGCAAUGGGCGCAAGCCUGACCCAGCAACGCAGUGUGAAGGAAGACGGCUCUAGGGUUGUAAACUUCUUUUCUGAGGGACGAAGAAAGUGACGGUACCUCAGGAAUAAGCCACGGCUAACUACGUGCCAGCAGCCGCGGUAAUACGUAGGUGGCAAGCGUUAUCCGGAUUUAUUGGGUGUAAAGGGCGUGUAGGCGGGAAAGCAAGUCAGAUGUGAAAACUCAGGGCUCAACCCUGAGACUGCAUUUGAAACUGUUUUUCUUGAGUGCUGGAGAGGCAAUCGGAAUUCGGGGUGUAGCGGUGAAAUGCGUAGAUAUACGGAGGAACACCAGUGGCGAAGGCGGAUUGCUAGACAGUAACUGACGCUGAGGCGCGAAAGCGUGGGGAGCAAACAGGAUUAGAUACCCCAGUAGUC